rnacentral:rRNA from 1 species
UACGUAGGGUCCGAGCGUUGUCCGGAAUUAUUGGGCGUAAAGAGCUCGUAGGCGGUCUGUUGCGUCGGCUGUGAAAACCCGGGGCUCAACUCCGGGCCUGCAGUCGAUACGGGCAGACUAGAGUUCGGUAGGGGAGACUGGAAUUCCCGGUGUAGCGGUGAAAUGCGCAGAUAUCAGGAGGAACACCAGUGGCGAAGGCGGCGACCUGGACAGAUAUUGACGCUGAGGUGCGAAAGCGUGGGGAGCAAACAGG